CCUUCUGGCCUCCCUCCUUUUUACCUAGGUGACUCCUUCGUGAACAAGCCCCAUAGUACAUUUUAUAGAAAGGGACAAACCUCCCUGCUGAAACUAGUGGAAGACGCUGCCCUUUAAAGUUUAUGAAAAGGUGACUCCUUCGUGAACAAGCCCCAUAGUACAUUGUAUAGAAAGGGACAAACCUCCCUGCUGAAACUAGUGGAAGACGCUGCCCUUUAAAGUUUAUGAAAAGGUGACUCCUUCGUGAACAAGCCCCAUAGUACAUUGUAUAGAAAGGGACAAACCUCCCUGCUGAAACUAGUGGAAGAC